rnacentral:rRNA from 1 species
GAUGAACGCUGGCGGCGUGCUUAACACAUGCAAGUCGAACGGAAAGGCCCAAGCUUGCUUGGGUACUCGAGUGGCGAACGGGUGAGUAACACGUGGGUGAUCUGCCCUGCACUUCGGGAUAAGCCUGGGAAACUGGGUCUAAUACCGGAUAGGACCACAUUUUGGAUGGUGUGGUGGAAAGUUUUUCGGUGUGGGAUGAGCUCGCGGCCUAUCAGCUUGUUGGUGGGGUAAUGGCCUACCAAGGCGUCGACGGGUAGCCGGCCUGAGAGGGUGUACGGCCACAUUGGGACUGAGAUACGGCCCAGACUCCUACGGGAGGCAGCAGUGGGGAAUAUUGCACAAUGGGCGCAAGCCUGAUGCAGCGACGCUGCGUGGGGGAUGACGGCCUUCGGGUUGUAAACUCCUUUCGCUAGGGACGAAGCGCAAGUGACGGUACCUGGAGAAGAAGCACCGGCUAACUACGUG